rnacentral:rRNA from 1 species
AGUGAACGCUGGCGGUAGGCCUAACACUUGCAAGUCGAACGGCAGCACAGUAAGAGCUUGCUCCUACGGGUGGCGAGUGGCGGACGGGUGAGGAAUACAUCGGAAUCUACUUUUUCGUGGGGGAUAACGUAGGGAAACUUACGCUAAUACCGCAUACGACCUACGGGUGAAAGCAGGGGAUCUUCGGACCUUGCGCGAUUGAAUGAGCCGAUGUCGGAUUAGCUAGUUGGCGGGGUAAAGGCCCACCAAGGCGACGAUCCGUAGCUGGUCUGAGAGGAUGAUCAGCCACACUGGAACUGAGACACGGUCCAGACUCCUACGGGAGGCAGCAGUGGGGAUUAUUGGACAAUGGGCGCAAGCCUGAUCCAGCCAUACCGCGUGGGUGAAGAAGGCCUUCGGGUUGUAAAGCCCUUUUGUUGGGAAAGAAAAGCAGCAGGUUAAUACCCCGCUGUUCUGACGGUACCCAAAGAAUAAGCACCGGCUAACUUCGUG